CUGGAAAUGGCUCUUGCCGUUGGUGUCAUAGAAUGUAAAGUGUUGGGAAGAGGGAAAGAUAAAAAAUACGGGAAGGAUUCUGGAGUUGAGCCAGGAGAAGCACUGUUAAAGAGCAGAACUAGACACAAGGGAUGAAAAGUAGGAUUCUCGACCUCUCUGUGAUCAUAACUCUAACGCAAGGAAGAACCUGAAAGCUCUUGUGAUACUUACUCUUGUCUCUCCUCUACUCGGCUGUAGGUGCCCUCCCUUCCCAGUUGUAUGAAUGGAUAUUUCUUUUCCAUGACUGUGAAACCAACAGAAGGCUCAAUAUUGAAGGGAAGGAGGCGAUGGGAAAGGUCUCUCCUGAGCCCCUGGAGGGCUGAUGUGAUUCGGAAUGGACAGUGCCAGAUGGGAUACCCUUUAGGGGCUACAAUCAGAAUACUUUAGAUUCCUGCCCUUGUUAAGCCAUACACUGUCAGAGCUCAGAAGAAACACUUCUGUUUUCCACCUGCCAAAACACCUCUGUGUUCCACCUGGUGAUGACUUCAAGAAUCAGAUGGAUUUUAUCUGUUUAAAGAUGGGGAAUUAACCAUUGCUUCUUUAUUCGACGAUGUGGUAAUGACAUUAGCAGAAUGCAGCAAAGAUGACUUUGUGGCUGUGAAUUAGGAGUAAUCUGUCAGGAUGUUCACAUAAGAUAAAACAAAAAUGCUGAUGAUUACUGUUCUAAUAAAUCAAUUCAGGAUAGAACAGAAUAAAAUCUAGAUAUGAGUACAACAGCCCCUUCUGGAUAUGUCAGUAUGCUGAAGGCCAAUCUAGAGACACUCUUUUAGCAGCCCUUCCAUUGCAGGACAAAGAGCAAAGAACAAUAAACUAUUUCCUUGUAGAAGUAGAUGAAUAAUCUAAGGAGGAAGUGAUCGAUGAUGUCAAGACGGACACCCUUGUUGGCAAUACCCACGCCCAGUCUGGCUCCCUGUCAGCCCCACACAGGUCACUUCAAAUACAAAUGCAGUCCUUAUAAUAAAAGAAAGCCUUGAGUCACAGGUGCAACCUGGUACCACCUCAGUGCCCAACAAAAUACGGUUCUGCAGCAUUUCCUCCCAUGCCAUUUUUAACUUAAAUGCAGACUUCAUGGGUGGAAUAUCAGCCACAUUGCUACUUCCUCCUGUUGGAAGUAAUCAGGAGUAACUCAGCUUACACUCAAGGAGAUGCAUGUCUUUGCAUGGGGAAGAGUUGAGAGGGAGAGGACUAGAUUGUCCUUCACCCGCUCUGAAUUGUGCUGACCUUCUUUCUCUUUUAGAUUGCUAUUCCAAAGAAUGCUGAUGUCCCUUCCUUCUUUUUCACACCUUUCCAAGGUGGAGACAUCUCGCUUUUGUUCUGUAGAGAUGAAAAAGGUACCAGUGGCUCCUGACACUUUCAGCUGAAUCGACUAGAACUAGGACUUCCAUCAGUUUUCCUAAAACAAAUGUAUUUCUCUAAUAAGCACAAUAUUUCUUAUUUUCUUGUAAAACAAUGUGGGUGCAAUUCCUUUACCUGUGUCCAGGUAGUGAUUUUGAAUUUCAAAGGGCUGAAUCUACCAGCUAACGUUGCUCCUGUACUUCUGUGUGCUUAUUUUCCAACACCACUCAUCCUUUUUGGUUUUUACUUAACAUCUCACCUGAUGAAACAUUCUGAAGAAUUUGAAUUUAGGAUGAUAUGAAGAUUUUAAUUUGUCCCAAAUUCAAAGAAAUUUUUUCCUGCUCCCCCACCAACGGUGUCAUCCUUUCCAGAAAUGUUAUAUCAUUAAAGAGGGAUGGAAACAUUGGCAUGAACUUUUGUGGACAACACCACAUACAUUUCAUCAAGAUCAUUCGAUAUCAUGUGCUACAAUUAAUGAAGGCUUAAAACAAAUAAAACUUGUUA